GGGUCACCAGGUGUUGUUGUCAGUACUGUACCUGAGUAACUUGUUGUAACAGGGUCACCAGGUGUUGUAACAGGGUCACCAGGUGUUGUUGUCAGUACUGUACCUGAGUAACUUGUUGUAACAGGGUCACCAGGUGUUGUUGUCAGUACUGUACCUGAGUAACUUGUUGUAACAGGGUCACCAGGUGUUGUAACAGGGUCACCAGGUGUUGUUGUCAGUACUGUACCUGAGUAACUUGUUGUAACAGGGUCACCAGGUGUUGUUGUCAGUACUGUACCUGAGUAACUUGUUGUAACAGGGUCACCAGGUGUUGUAACAGGGUCACCAGGUGUUGUAACAGGGUCACCAGGUGUUGUAACAGGGUCACCAGGUGUUGUUGUCAGUACUGUACCUGAGUAACUUGUUGUAACAGGGUCACCAGGUGUUGUAACAGGGUCACCAGGUGUUGUAACAGGGUCACCAGGUGUUGUAACAGGGUCACCAGGUGUUGUUGUCAGUACUGUACCUGAGUAACUUGUUGUAACAGGGUCACCAGGUGUUGUAACAGGGUCACCAGGUGUUGUUGUCAGUACUGUACCUGAGUAACUUGUUGUAACAGGGUCACCAGGUGUUGUAACAGGGUCACCAGGUGUUGUAACAGGGUCACCAGGUGUUGUAACAGGGUCACCAGGUGUUGUUGUCAGUACUGUACCUGAGUAACUUGUUGUAACAGGGUCACCAGGUGUUGUUGUCAGUACUGUACCUGAGUAACUUGUUGUAACAGGGUCACCAGGUGUUGUAACAGGGUCACCAGGUGUUGUUGUCAGUACUGUACCUGAGUAACUUGUUGUAACAGGGUCACCAGGUCUCUAGUUGUGUUGCCAUCAGCACUGAGCUCCAGACUGUUCAGGACUUUGGC